CCUACGGGGGGCAGCAGUGAGGAAUAUUGGUCAAUGGCCGCAGGGCUGAACCAGCCAAGUCGCGUGAGGGAUGACGGUCCUAUGGAUUGUAAACCUCUUUUGUCAGGGAGCAAAGGGCGCCACGUGUGGCGCUUUGCGAGUACCUGAAGAAAAAGCAUCGGCUAACUCCGUGCCAGCAGCCGCGUUAAUACGGAGGAUGCGAGCGUUAUCCGGAUUUGUUGGGUUUAAGGGGUGCGCAGGCGGAGUGUAAAGUCAGCGGUAAAAUUUCGGGGCUCAACCCAGUCGUGCCGUUGAAACUGGCGUUCUUGAGUGAGCGAGAGGUAGGCGGAAUGCGUGGUGUAGCGGUGAAAUGCAUAGAUAUCACGCAGAACUCCGAUUGCGAAGGCAGCAUACCGGCGCUCAACUGACGCUCAUGCACGAAAGCGUGGGUAUCGAACAGGAUUAGAUACCCUAGUAGUC
rnacentral:rRNA from 1 species